GGUUAUGAUACAUAUGAUUAAACAAUUUUACGCAUGCGCAAACUAUUUAUAGACAUAAAGAUCGAUUUUUAUGCACUACCAGAGCACACUGGUAUAAAUCGUAGUUCAUCUCAUUACUCUAAAAGUCGAGGCUCUUGUAGAGCUGUUCAGUAAGUGUUACAUCUAUGAUGCACUGUUUAAAAACAAGCCCAUUCAGUUGCAAUGAUCAGGUAUUCGAUGGAUAAAGCGAAAAAUGUGGUAAUUACGGG
rnacentral:lncRNA from 1 species